rnacentral:rRNA from 1 species
CCUACGGGUGGCAGCAGUAGGGAAUCUUUCACAAUGGGCGAAAGCCUGAUGGAGCAACGCCGCGUGCAGGAUGAAGGCCUUCGGGUUGUAAACUGCUUUUAUAAGCGAGAAAUAUGAUGGUAACUUAUGAAUAAGGAUCGGCUAACUACGUGCCAGCAGCCGCGGUCAUACGUAGGAUCCGAGCAUUAUCCGGAGUGACUGGGUGUAAAGAGUUGCGUAGGUGGCAUAAUAAGUAGCUAGUGAAAUCUGGUGGCUCAACCAUUCAGACUAUUAGCUAAACUGUUAAGCUCGAGACCGUUAGAGGUAACUGGAAUGUCUAGUGUAGGAGUGAAAUGCAUAGAUAUUAGAAAGAACACCAAUAGCGUAGGCAGGUUACUGGGACGGUUCUGACACUGAGGCACGAAAGCGUAGGGAGCAAACGGGAUUAGAUACCCCAGUAGUC